GGGAAAACAGAGAGGACAGGAAAAACGGGAGAAUAGGUAGGGUCGGACGUUCACAAAAAAGAAAAGGGAAACAAGAAGAAGAAUGCGAACUGUACUCUCAGGCGGUCUGCAAAUUCUGCACAAAAACGGACAAAAGCCCGGCUUAUAUCCUUAGCGGCACGUGGAAAAGCGUUGUCUACCUGCGUCUUCAAUAUAAGCUUUUCCAUCUUUCUGUCUCCACGAUGCGGUCGUAGACUUUACGAAAAUAGAAUAUACUUGGAACAGAAAAUAUAUGUAUACUGCAGGUUAUUCGAUGUUCGUCAAAUGAAUUCCUAAUAACGACAAA